GAUGAACGCUGGCGGCGUGCCUAAUACAUGCAAGUCGAGCGAACGGACGAGAAGCUUGCUUCUCUGAUGUUAGCGGCGGACGGGUGAGUAACACGUGGAUAACCUACCUAUAAGACUGGGAUAACUUCGGGAAACCGGAGCUAAUACCGGAUGAUAUUUUGAACCGCAUGGUUCAAAAGUGAAAGACGGUCUUGCUGUCACUUAUAGAUGGAUCCGCGCUGCAUUAGCUAGUUGGUAAGGUAACGGCUUACCAAGGAAACGAUGCAUAGCCGACCUGAGAGGGUGAUCGGCCACACUGGAACUGAGACACGGUCCAGACUCCUACGGGAGGCAGCAGUAGGGAAUCUUCCGCAAUGGGCGAAAGCCUGACGGAGCAACGCCGCGUGAGUGAUGAAGGUCUUCGGAUCGUAAAACUCUGUUAUUAGGGAAGAACAUAUGUGUAAGUAACUGUGCACAUCUUGACGGUACCCAAUCAGAAAGCCACGGCUAACUACGUG
rnacentral:rRNA from 1 species